UACAGAGGGGGCAAGCGUUAUUCGGAAUUAUUGGGCGUAAAGGGCGCGUAGGCGGCCUGGCAAGUGGAAGGUGAAAUCCCUCGGCUUAACCGAGGAACUGCCUUCCAAACUGCUUGGCUUGAGUCCGGGAGAGGUGAGUGGAAUUCCCAGUGUAGCGGUGAAAUGCGUAGAUAUUGGGAGGAACACCGGUGGCGAAGGCGGGUCUCUGGGCAACUCCUGACGCUGAGGCGCGAAAGCUAGGGGAGCAAACAGG
rnacentral:rRNA from 1 species